AUAAGUCGAACACAUCACAACACUUCAGUCAUUUCUUAUGUGACCUUAAUUGUUUCGAACCGUCAAUCUAAAUUAAAAGUUUGCAUACAAUAAGUCUACUAGAGGUGUCUACCUGUCAUUCGAUAUCAUGAGUUCAUGAGAGUAUCUUACCUCAUUUCUAUGAGUAAGUCUCUCUUCAUGCGACUAAGAAUUCAUUUAUAUAUGCCCAGAUCAACGAACGGAUCCUGAAAUUCCCCAACAAUCAACACAAUUUGGGCCAUGAGCCCAAACAAUCAAAUACAAACGUAAAUUAGAUCAUACAUUCUCCCAAAAAAAUCAUCAUGAAAUUUAUAUAAUCAUAAAUUCUUCACUAAGAAAGAAGAAAAGAGAAACAAAUGUAAACAUAAUAUAAAAAUAAUAGAGCAUUAUAAAUUAGACCUCUUACUAUGCCGAACAUUAUCCUUUGAAAUGAAUCACUGAUAAAAUUAAUUAUGAUAUAUGUGUCUUCAUUAUUAUUAUACUGCCAAAAGUAUGUUAUAUAUAGAUAAACUAAGUAUAAGAGAAGUCUUAUGCCUUCCCUUAUUGGGUUGAAUAUAUAAAUUCAAGAAUACAGGUGUGUGGUUUUAUUUCAUCUUAGUGUAUUGAAUCGUAUGCAUAUGCACAUCAACAUGUAUCUUAAUACUCAUAUGGCAUAAAAUAAAAUUAGCAGAAGGAAUAAGCAUAUAAUCGCGUUGCACGUUUCUCCUGUGAACAACAAUUGAAAUUAUUAAUUUCUUUGAAUGAAACUCAUAGCAGAACUUAGAAUAAAAUAAAGAGCAAAUAAAGUGAAAACAUUAUGGAUGUUCCAUACACGCAGAAAUUGAGAGAGUAAAAUCAUAUAUGCCAAACACAACAUUAAUAAUAAUAAAAACAGUAUUUCCCAACUACCAAAUUCAUGGAGUUUAAUUUUGUUAGGGUUUUAAUAUUAUGGCAAUGGAUUGAUGGAUAAAUAUUGCUUCUUCACUUGCUCCCUAUUUGAUAAAAUAUAUAUUAUAUUUAAUCCUUAAUUAAUUAUUAUGUUAUGAUAUUUUAAUCCUAAUACAUUAUUUAUUUAAUUAACCAUUCCUUCUAUAUCAUUUGUAAUACUCAUCUUCUUUCAAUAUGAGGAAUAACACUACUAACUUAAUUAUCUAGCAAAAUACAGCUUAAAAAAUAGUCAUUCAACAAUCAUUUGAUAUAAGUACAUAAUCACAUAUAUUAAUUAACACUAUCUCAAUUAAUCAUUUUCUAGGAAUGUUAUACUAUCACUGCCACAACCAUGUAAAUGUCAUCACUAUAUGGUGUAUAUCAAACAUUGGAUAGGGUGAGAACUUAUCUUACUCAUAUCAUAUUCUACUCUUGUCAUUAAUUAUACUAUUAGUAGCAAUUAAGACCCAACAAAUAACAUUUUCUUGUUAAUGUUUUGGGCUAUUAGUAGCCCAUACCCAUUAGCCUGGACCCAAAAUUGGGUCCACAUAAGAGAAAAUAAUCUCAGAUUUAAAACAGCAAACAAAUUAGAAAUGGCAAAAUGCUAUACAAAUAUGUGAAUGAGAUUUUUCCUUCUUUUUUUCUGUCAUAAACUCAUAAUAACUAAAAAUGUGCCACCCUCUCCUUCCCACCUAAAUAGGAUCAAUAAACACGUGAAAAUAAACAUAACCAUAACAAAACAAUUUUCCAAAAAUAACCAAAAAAUUGUCACAAAACCAGGAAACAAAUUAGCCACAAAUUCUUACCCACCACCACUAUAAAACUCUCUUGAUCCAAUCCUUUUCUCCUCAGGCUGCAAAUUAUCUCUUAAACAAUAAAAGCAAAUAAAAGUGUAUUAGGUAACCUUAUCUCAUUCUUUUUUGUUACCUGAUAUACGCCAUGGAGAUGAAGAAGGUUGCUUGUGCUGUUCUCUUUGCUGCCGCCUCCGUUAGCGCCGUCGUUGCCACCGAUGUGCCUGCUCCAGCUCCUGGACCUAGCAGCGGCGCCACCGCUGUUGGUUCAUUUGUGGGUGCCUCCAUCCUCUCCUUUGUUGCCUACUACUUGUUUUAAACGUGACACAUGCAUGAAGGUGUGUGUGAUUAUGAAGAUUACAUGCAUAACGUGGAAUGAAGUGUAUAAUGCUAGUUACAGCAUCACGAGGGUGAGAAAAUGAGAAUUUUGUUCUCUUAUUUCAUUUCCUUUUGGGUUUGCCUUUUUUUCUAUGUUGUAUGUUCUUUCCAUGUUGAAUGUGUAGGCAUGGAGUGAUUUUAUAUUUCUUAAUAAAAAAGUUUAUUAUUUAUUAUUA
rnacentral:lncRNA from 1 species